rnacentral:rRNA from 1 species
UAUGAAGGGGGCUAGCGUUGCUCGGAAUCACUGGGCGUAAAGGGCGCGUAGGCGGCUCUUUAAGUCAGGGGUGAAAUCCUGGAGCUCAACUCCAGAACUGCCUUUGAUACUGAAGAUCUUGAGUUCGGGAGAGGUGAGUGGAACUGCGAGUGUAGAGGUGAAAUUCGUAGAUAUUCGCAAGAACACCAGUGGCGAAGGCGGCUCACUGGCCCGAUACUGACGCUGAGGCACGAAAGCGUGGGGAGCAAACAGG